UACGUAGGGUGCGAGCGUUGUCCGGAAUUAUUGGGCGUAAAGAGCUCGUAGGCGGUUUGUCGCGUCGGCCGUGAAAUCUCCACGCUUAACGUGGAGCGUGCGGUCGAUACGGGCAGACUUGAGUUCGGUAGGGGAGACUGGAAUUCCUGGUGUAGCGGUGAAAUGCGCAGAUAUCAGGAGGAACACCGAUGGCGAAGGCUGGUCUCUGGGCCACUACUGACGCUGAGAAGCGAAAGCAUGGGGAGCGAACAGG
rnacentral:rRNA from 1 species